rnacentral:rRNA from 1 species
CGCACGAGAACACCUCAGCUUGCUGGGGUAAGUAAAGUGGCGCACGGGUGAGUAACGCGUGGGUAAUCUGCCCUCGAAUCUGGGAUAACCCCGCGAAAGCGGGGCUAAUACCGGAUGAAAUCCAGUUAGCUUUGGCUAUAUGGAUCAAAGGUGGCCUCUGCAUGCAAGCUACUGUUUGGGGAUGAGCCCGCGUACCAUUAGCUUGUUGGUGGGGUAAAGGCCCACCAAGGCGACGAUGGUUAGCUGGUCUGAGAGGAUGAUCAGCCACACUGGAACUGGAACACGGUCCAGACUCCUACGGGAGGCAGCAGUGAGGAAUUUUGCGCAAUGGGGGUAACCCUGACGCAGCAACGCCGCGUGAGUGAUGAAGGCCUUCGGGUCGUAAAGCUCUGUCAAGUGGGAAGAACCCAUUCCGGCACAACAAGCCGGGGUGCUGACGGUACCACUGAAGGAAGCACCGGCUAACUCCGUGCCAGCAGCCGCGGUAAUACGGAGGGUGCGAGCGUUAUUCGGAAUUACUGGGCGUAAAGGGCGCGUAGGCGGCCGAUUAAGUCAGAUGUGAAAUCCCGGGGCUUACCCCCGGAAGUGCAUUUGAUACUGAACGGCUUGAGUAUGGGAGAGGGAAGUGGAAUUCCUGGUGUAGCGGUGAAAUGCGUAGAUAUCAGGAGGAACACCGGUGGCGAAGGCGACUUCCUGGACCAAUACUGACGCUGAGGCGCGAAGGCGUGGGGAGCAAACAGGAUUAGAUACCCUGGUAGUCCUCGCAGUAAAACGGUGAUCACUAGGUGUAGCGGGUAUUGACCCCUGCUGUGCCGGAGUUAACGCAUUAAGUGAUCCGCCUGGGGAGUACGGCCGCAAGGUUAAAACUCGAAGGAAUUGACGGGGGCCCGCACAAGCGGUGGAGCAUGUGGCCUAAUUCGACGCAACGCGAAGAACCUUACCUGGAUUUGACAUCUCGGGAAUCCCGCGGAAACGCGGGAGUGCCCUUCGGGGAGCCCGAAGACAGGUGCUGCAUGGCUGUCGUCAGCUCGUGUCGUGAGAUGCUGGGUUAAGUCCCGCAACGAGCGCAACCCCUAUCUUCAGUUACCAGCGAGUAAAGUCGGGGACUCUGGAGAUACUGCCCCGGUCAACGGGGAGGAAGGUGGGGAUGACGUCAAGUCCUCAUGGCCUUUAUGUCCAGGGCUACACACGUGCUACAAUGGGCUGUACAGAGGGAAGCGAUCUCGCGAGGGUGAGCCAAUCCCAAAAAGCAGUCCUCAGUUCGGAUUGGAGUCUGCAACUCGACUCCAUGAAGCUGGAAUCGCUAGUAAUCGCGGAUCAGCAUGCCG